UGGGGAAUUUUGGACAAUGGGGGCAACCCUGAUCCAGCAAUGCCGCGUGAGUGAAGAAGGCCUUCGGGUUGUAAAGCUCUUUUGUCAGGGAAGAAAAGGUAAGGGCUAAUAUCCUUUGCACUUGACGGUACCUGAAGAAUAAGCACCGGCUAACUACGUGCCAGCAGCCGCGGUAAUACGUAGGGUGCGAGCGUUAAUCGGAAUUACUGGGCGUAAAGCGUACGCAGGCGGUUAUGUAAGACAGAUGUGAAAUGCCUGGGCUUAACCUAGGAACUGCAUUUGUGACUGCAUAGCUAGAGUGUGUCAGAGGGGGGUAGAAUUCCACGUGUAGCAGUGAAAUGCGUAGAUAUGUGGAGGAAUACCGAUGGCGAAGGCAGCCCCCUGGGAUAACACUGACGCUCAUGUACGAAAGCGUGGGGAGCAAACA
rnacentral:rRNA from 1 species